rnacentral:rRNA from 1 species
UACGUAGGGGGGCAAGCGUUGUCCGGAAUCAUUGGGCGUAAAGCGCGUGUAGGCGGCUUGGUAAGUCCGCUCUGAAAGCCCGGGGCUCAACCCCCGGGAGGCGGGUGGAUACUGCUGGGCUCGAGUCCGGAAGAGGAGUGUGGAAUUCCUGGUGUAGCGGUGAAAUGCGCAGAUAUCAGGAGGAACACCGGUGGCGAAGGCGGUUCUCUGGGCAUUACCUGACGCUGAGGAGCUGAAAGUGUGGGGAGCGAACAGG